GGUUAAGCGACUAAGCGUACACGGUGGAUGCCCUGGCAGUCAGAGGCGAUGAAGGACGUGCUAAUCUGCGAUAAGCGUCGGUGAGGUGAUAUGAACCGUUAUAACCGGCGAUUUCCGAAUGGGGAAACCCAGUGUGUUUCGACACACUAUCAUUAACUGAAUCCAUAGGUUAAUGAGGCGAACCGGGGGAACUGAAACAUCUAAGUACCCCGAGGAAAAGAAAUCAACCGAGAUUCCCCCAGUAGCGGCGAGCGAACGGGGAGGAGCCCAGAGCCUGAAUCAGUGUGUGUGUUAGUGGAAGCGUCUGGAAAGGCGUGCGAUACAGGGUGACAGCCCCGUACACAAAAAUGCACAUAUUGUGAGCUCGAUGAGUAGGGCGGGACACGUGGUAUCCUGUCUGAAUAUGGGGGGACCAUCCUCCAAGGCUAAAUACUCCUGACUGACCGAUAGUGAACCAGUACCGUGAGGGAAAGGCGAAAAGAACCCCGGCGAGGGGAGUGAAAAAGAACCUGAAACCGUGUACG
rnacentral:rRNA from 1 species